UAUCCCCUACGGGAAUCGAACCCGUGUCUUCGACAUGAGGAGACGAUGUCCUAACCACUAGACGAAAGGGAC
rnacentral:tRNA from 1 species